UACGUAGGUGGCAAGCGUUGUUCGGAAUUAUUGGGCGUAAAGGGCGCGUAGGCGGUUUGUUAAGUCGGUCGUGAAAGCCCGGGGCUCAACCCCGGAGGGUCGACCGAUACUGGCAGACUAGAGUACAGAAGAGGUAACUGGAAUUCCCGGUGUAGCGGUUGAAAUGCGUAGAUAUCGGGAGGAACACCCAGAGGCGAAGGCGGGUUACUGGGCUGAUACUGACGCUGAUGCGGCGAAAGCCAGGGGAGCAAACGGG
rnacentral:rRNA from 1 species